rnacentral:miRNA from 1 species
GUGGCCCAGGCAGAAACCCUGAGU